rnacentral:lncRNA from 1 species
GUACAAAGCUUAAGUCCAAGUGGAUCAAGGACCUCCACAUCAAACCAGACACACUCAAACUAAUAGAAGAAAAACUAAGGAAGCAUCUGGAACACAUGGGCACUGGAAAAAAUUUCCUGAACAAAACACCAAUGGCUUAUGCUCUAAGAUCAAGAAUCGACAAAUGGGAUCUCAUAAAACUGCAAAGCUUCUGUAAGGCAAAGGACACUGUGGUUAGGACAAAACGGCAACCAACAGAUUGGGAAAAGAUCUUUACCAAUCCUACAACAGAUAGAGGCCUUAUAUCCAAAAUAUACAAAGAACUCAAGAAGUUAGACCGCAGGGAAACAAAUAACCCUAUUAAAAAAUGGGGUUCAGAGCUAAACAAAGAAUUCACAGCUGAGGAAUGCCGAAUGGCUGAGAAACACCUAAAGAAAUGUUCAACAUCUUUAGUCAUAAGGGAAAUGCAAAUCAAAACAACCCUGAGAUUUCACCUCACACCAGUGAGAAUGGCUAAGAUCAAAAACUCAGGUGACAGCAGAUGCUGGCGAGGAUGUGGAGAAAGAGGAACACUCCUCCAUUGUUGGUGGGAUUGCAGACUGGUAAAACCAUUCUGGAAAUCAGUCUGGAGGUUCCUCAGAAAAUUGGACAUUGAACUGCCUGAGGAUCCAGCUAUACCUCUCUUGGGCAUAUACCCAAAAGAUGCCUCAACAUAUAAAAGAGACACGUGCUCCACUAUGUUCAUCGCAGCCUUAUUUAUAAUAGCCAGAAACUGGAAAGAACCCAGAUGCCCUUCAACAGAGGAAUGGAUACAGAAAAUGUGGUACAUCUACACAAUGGAAUAUUACUCAGCUAUCAAAAACAACGAGUUUAUGAAAUUCGUAGGCAAAUGGUUGGAACUGGAAAAUAUCAUCCUGAGUGAGCUAACCCAAUCACAGAAAGACAUACAUGGUAUGCACUCAUUGAUAAGUGGCUAUUAGCCCAAAUGCUUGAAUUACCCUAGAUCCCUAGAACAAAGGAAACUCAAGACGGAUGAUCAAAAUGUGAAUGCUUCACUCCUUCUUUAAAUGAGGAAAAAGAAUACCCUUGGCAGGGAAGGGAGAGGCAAAGAUUAAAACA